UUUUCUAAAUUUUUAUCAGUUUUUCCCUCGCCACACAAAUGUAUAAUUUGAAAUCGUUCCAAUAUGCGAUCUAAGUCUUCUCGAAGGGCAUUGUUGAUUGCCACAGAACCCAAACUUCCACCCAUGACCAGGACAACCGGUUUUAUUGGGCUAA
rnacentral:ncRNA from 1 species